CCUACGGGAGGCAGCAGUGGGGAAUUUUGGACAAUGGGCGCAAGCCUGAUCCAGCAAUGCCGCGUGAGUGAAGAAGGCCUUCGGGUUGUAAAGCUCUUUUGUCAGGGAAGAAACGGUGAGCUCUAAUACAGUUUGCUAAUGACGGUACCUGAAGAAUAAGCACCGGCUAACUACGUGCCAGCAGCCGCGGUAAUACGUAGGGUGCAAGCGUUAAUCGGAAUUACUGGGCGUAAAGCGUGCGCAGGCGGUUUUGUAAGUCUGUCGUGAAAUCCCCGGGCUCAACCUGGGAAUGGCGAUGGAGACUGCAAGGCUAGAGUUUGGCAGAGGGGGGUAGAAUUCCACGUGUAGCAGUGAAAUGCGUAGAUAUGUGGAGGAACACCGAUGGCGAAGGCAGCCCCCUGGGUCAAACUGACGCUCAUGCACGAAAGCGUGGGGAGCAAACAGGAUUAGAUACCCUGGUAGUCCACGCCCUAAACGACUGUCUACUAGUUGUCGGGUCUUAAUUGACUUGGUAACGCAGCUAACGCGUGAAGUAGACCGCCUGGGGAGUACGGUCGCAAGNUUAAAACGUCAAAGGAAUUGACGG
rnacentral:rRNA from 1 species